rnacentral:rRNA from 1 species
UGCAAGUCGAGCGAAUGGAUUAAGAGCUUGCUCUUAUGAAGUUAGCGGCGGACGGGUGAGUAACACGUGGGUAACCUGCCCAUAAGACUGGGAUAACUCCGGGAAACCGGGGCUAAUACCGGAUAACAUUUUGAACCGCAUGGUUCGAAAUUGAAAGGCGGCUUCGGCUGUCACUUAUGGAUGGACCCGCGUCGCAUUAGCUAGUUGGUGAGGUAACGGCUCACCAAGGCAACGAUGCGUAGCCGACCUGAGAGGGUGAUCGGCCACACUGGGACUGAGACACGGCCCAGACUCCUACGGGAGGCAGCAGUAGGGAAUCUUCCGCAAUGGACGAAAGUCUGACGGAGCAACGCCGCGUGAGUGAUGAAGGCUUUCGGGUCGUAAAACUCUGUUGUUAGGGAAGAACAAGUGCUAGUUGAAUAAGCUGGCACCUUGACGGUACCUAACCAGAAAGCCACGGCUAACUACGUGCCAGCAGCCGCGGUAAUACGUAGGUGGCAAGCGUUAUCCGGAAUUAUUGGGCGUAAAGCGCGCGCAGGUGGUUUCUUAAGUCUGAUG